UUCUAAAAGAAAUCUUGUGAUAGUUUUGGCGGAAAAAACUUGUUUCAAGCUACUUAUUAGUUACUUAUUUGAUAUUCGUAUAAAAUCGAUUCACAUACAUAUAAGCCUGUACGUCCGGCAUACUCGUACAUACAAAAAAUAAUCCUCACCAGAUGCAAUAUUCUUAUGUCAACUUUUCUAGACCUCGAAACACUUUUCAUAAGCACUUUUUGGAAUGACCUUACGCGAAUUUUGUUGUAUCACUUCGAUGGACUGAAAACGGAUUAAACGGAGCGGCAAUUCAGGUUGGGAAACAAAAAAAAUCACACGGAGACAAAUAUGGUGAACACGGUGGUUGAUCGAUGGCAUUCAAAACGGGUUUAAAUUGGUCACAAAAUUAAGCUUUAUCGGGACGAGUCGAGCUAGAACGCAUUUCAUACCCAAAAUAUCCACUAAAUCAUUUGAAUGGACUCGCGAGAGAUGUCGAACUCUCUUGCCAUCUCUUUAACAUUUGCAUGACGAUUUUCAAGCACCAUAUCCUUCACUUUUUUAAUAUAUUCAUUAGCGUAAGCUUUUUCCAAUAUUCGCAAUGCUUUCGCACAAGAAACUUUGUUAUAAAUAAAAAAUUUUAGACAAA